CAAAAUUUCUUAACAAAGGAAACCUGUUAAGCAACAAGGGAAUAUUUUGAACAAGACACCCCAUCUUCUCACUCCAGCUAUUUCUCUGGCUAUUCUGCAUGCUUGGAAUGUUCUCCCUCACCAUCUCUGCUUCCUGGAUUUCCUGACUUCCUUCAAGUCCUGUGCUAAAAUCCAACCUUAAACAAUAAGCUUUUCUUCAACCCUCUUUAGUCUACUGCCUUACUUAUGAAUGAUUAGUUAAUUAAUUAUUGUCAAUUUAUCCUUUAUUUAGCUUGUUUAUUCAUAGCUGUUUUAUGUUAUUUCCCUCAUUAAUUCUUAAUAAUCAAGGUCAGGAUGAUAGGGAACUGUAGUAAAGAAUGAAUAAGAAGGGGGCAGCUAGGUGGCUUAGGCCUAAAGAUGGGAGGUCCUGGGUUCAAAUCUAGCUUCAGACACUUCCUAGUUGUGUGACCCUGGACAAGUCACUUAACACUCAUUGUCUAGUUUUUGCCAUUCUUCUGCCUUGAAAUCA
rnacentral:lncRNA from 1 species